rnacentral:rRNA from 1 species
UACAGAGGUCUCAAGCGUUGUUCGGAUUCAUUGGGCGUAAAGGGUGUGUAGGUGGCGCCGUAAGUCAGGUGUGAAAUUUCGAGGCUUAACCUCGAAACUGCAUUUGAUACUGCGGUGCUUGAGGACUGGAGAGGAGACUGGAAUUUACGGUGUAGCAGUGAAAUGCGUAGAUAUCGUAAGGAAGACCAGUGGCGAAGGCGGGUCUCUGGACAGUUCCUGACACUGAGACACGAAGGCCAGGGGAGCAAACGGG